AUAGCGGUAUAAAGUCGAGAAUUAAAGAUAGAGAUCGGAUCACCCUCUCCAGUGACUCGAACUGACUCGGAUUCGCCAGCCGAUACGUAACAUCGUUCGUCGUGUCGGACCGAGACGGAACUCCCUUUUCUUUCUCCGUUCCUCAGCCGCGCCCGCCUCCGCUCCUCAGCCUCAUUCCGCACCGCAGGAUUUCAGAACGCGGCGAAUCAUGGACGUCGAUCCUCGUCACUUCAAUCAAGUUGCUAUCAAUGACAAUGAUAUCAACAGUAUUGUUCUGUCAUACCUUGUGCAUAACUGCUACAAAGAAACUGUGGAGUCGUUUGUUGCUUCGACGGGGACGAAGCAGCCUGCCGACUGCGUUGAGGAUAUGGAGAAAAGAAAAGGAUUUUUCAAUGUGCAGUGGAGGGGAAUGCUCUGAAGGCGAUUGAACUGACGGAAGAGCUGGCACCUGAGUUACUGGAGAAAAACAAAGACUUGCAUUUUGGCCUUCUUAGCCUGCACUUUGUUGAACUUGUUUGCGCUAAAAAAUGCACAGAAGCUUUGGAAUUCGCCCAGACAAGUUGGCCCCCUUUGGGAAGGUGGACAAAUACGUUACUAAGCUUGAAGAUUUAAUGGCUCUGCUUGCUUAUGACGAACCGGAGAAGUCUCCUGUGUUUCAUUUGCUUAGCUUGGAUCAUCGGCAAGAAGUUGCAGAUAGUUUGAAUCAAGCGAUUCUUGGGCAUUCAAACCUGCCCGAUUACUCUGCAUUGGAAAGGCUAAUACAACAGACAACAGUAGUAAGACAAUGUAUGAUUGAAGAUAAUGUCAAGAAUGGGAAUCCUCCAUUUUCUUUGGAGGAUUUUAUUAGAAGCUAAAUGUAUGAAACCUUUGGAGCAGCACCAGAUGGGGAUGAUUGGCGAUCGCUGAGUUCGCGUAUACUACAGUUUGGCUAGUUUGCUUCCGACAGCAUUCCCGCAUGUGGAUUUGGUGUGUCAUCCAUUAUUUCAUGUUUAGAAGUAGUAAUCGAAGGAGGUGAACUUGGUGGGUCGUAUAGAAAGCUCGGAUGGGGUAUGUGCCAAUGGUUUUUCUUUAGGCUUUAAUGCAAGGCUUGCAUAUGUUAUGGUGCUUGUUUUAAGACUCGCAAAACUUGUGUAAUCUAUCUAUUGAAAUUGAUCCAAAGUUUAUCCACACGUUGCGAGCAUACUGGGGAUUUUAAGACCUCCUAAUUACAAGUGAAGAAAAAUGUAACAACACAGUAACAUUAAAUGACAAAUUAACACGUGUCGAAAAUUAUAGGAGAUUCUAACUUUGGACCUCUUCAUUACUAACGAAGAAAAAUUAAACCAGAGUAUAGUAUUAAAUGACAGUGUCGAAAAUUGGGCUUUUUGAAAUACCGCAAAGGUAACCUCGUCCUUGUCCGUUGGACUGUUUGUCUCCCUCCCUCCCUUGCUCGCUCACUCGCGCCGCUUCUCCAUCCGGAUAUGGCGUCUCAUCUCCCCGCCACCGUCAAUUUCCUAUCUCUUCCGUCACAAAUCCUCCUUAUAUGGCACCGCUUUCCCCCAAAGGUAUCCUCUGAACGUUGAGGUUUCCCAAUGAAUCUGUAAAAUAUUCUCCUCCAAUUCUCAACGCUUAAAUGCAGCAACUAAGCAGACAGUAAUUUGUACCUUCAUUUGCUCACGCGAGUAGUUUCCAUGGCGUUUUACAGAGCAGGACUCGAACAAUUCGAAAAUUGUCAGAUUUUUUGGAAUAAGCUGCCGAAUUAGCACCAGAGCCAAGGGGUUAUCUUCUACUCAAAAACCCAAUACUUUAAUCAAGGAACCCCGCAAGUACUUUGAUCAGGUGAUCAUCACCGUUCGUUCAGGAGACGGAGGCCACGGCGCGGUCCUCGCCAUGCCGAACCAGAGACCUCCCAGUAAGCCGUCGCAGGGGAAACAUGAGAAGGAGAAGCUGAGGAGGAAGAGCUUGCUGAAAAGGGAUUUUGGUGUGGCCGUUGUUCUCCCCGUGGGCGGCCAUGGAGGUGAUGUUGUGAUUUAUGCGGAUGAGGGUAAAGAUCCGUUGUUGGAAUUUCAUACGAAAAGCAGGUUCAAUGCGAAACGCGGUGGCAAUGUGGCUGCAAUGGGGGUCUUGACAUCCCAGUAGCACAAUGGACUUUCUGCUCCGGCUCUGCGUAUUCCGUGCCUCCCGGUUUGUUUAUUGUUUUGUGUUCUUUUGUUAUGAUUUCGUGCUGUGGAUGUAAUGAAUUGGGAGUUUUUUCUUCAAGGUAUAAUCGGUGAUGAUAAUGUGGUAGGAUGGUCAAUUUAAUUUGUGUUUUUGCGAUAUAGGUACUGUAGUGAAGCAUAAACGAGGAACGUUGUUGGCUGUGAAGCGUAAACGAGGAACGUUGUUGGCUGAUCUAGCAUGGCCAGGGGACGAAAUUCUUGUGGCGAGGGGUGGACAAGGAGGGGCGAGACACCAUGCUUCUUAUAGAUUGAGAAAUUUUGGCAAUUGGGAAGAUAGCCUCAAUCUUCGUAUCAUAUAACUUGUCUAGGCGGUUAUGCAGGUUAGCGAACUUGCAUGUCAAUGCUAAUCUGCAGUUUACAUUUAAUUUUUUCGGCUUUUGUGGCAGAUUAGCUUGGUAGAAAUGCCAGAGCGUAGUAAGAAAAAGGUGAUGGCUCUGACCACAAAUGUGAUGAGAGAUGAUAGUGAUAAGGUAUAGUUGUGCUAACGUGUUUCUACGAGUUGUUGCAGGUUUUAGCAGUUGGUCAACCGGGAGAGGAGAUCAGUUUGGUAUUCAUCCUACGAGUUGUUGCUGAUGUUGGUUUGGUUGUAAGUAUUGCUUUCCCGUGCUCUAUAUUUUUUCGAGUAUAUUUCUCUGUGGGGUUCAUUUUUCUGUUUGAAGUUCUGUCUUAGAAGUUCAAUUAUCAUAUCCCCAUGGUUUUAAUGGAACUGGUGGUAGCGAUUUCUUGGUACCUAGCUUUCCGAAAAAGAAACAAUAUCGCACCAUGUUGAGCACAAAAUCUGUCAGACCAGAUUGUACUUUAUCGGAUUUAGUUUCCAGUUUUGAUUUGCUGUAUUGUAAUAAACUUGACGCAGUUGAGCUGAUUCCUUACUAUUGGUCUUAUGGUAGUGAUUCUUCAGCAGUUCCUUACACUGGUUAGCAAAUUUCGACGAGAAGGGAAAUCUAACUAGACUUUUUCAAGUUACAAUCUAAAUAGAGUAAUACAUAUUUUGAUCAAGUUAAUUUGGACUAGAAUCAAAGAGAAAAACCUUAUAUUUUGGUGUUUCAUGGUUCAACAAGAAAGAAAUGGAGUAAGACUACUUAUAGAAGGUAUAUGUAUGGUCUUUAGAUUCCUAAUAUUUACCUGCCUUUGUUGCGGGGCCUUCCAAAUGCUGGAAAAUUAACCCUUUUGGCCGCCACCACACUUGCAAGACCUGAUAUAGCCGAUUAUCCUUUCACAACCUUAAUGCCAAACCUUGGACUCCUUGAUGGCGACCCAAGUUUAGGGCCAGGGAUGUAUUCUUCUGAAGCAACUUUUGCAGAUUUGCCUGGUCUUAUUGAAGGCGCUCAUCUUGGCAAGCCGAGAAUCCUGUGAAUGACUACAGAACUGUCAAGGAAGAAUUGCGAGUGUAUAAUCCUGAUUACCUUGAACGACCAUACAUAGUGGUGUUCAAUAAAAUUGACCUUCCCCAGGCAAAGGACAGGCUUCCAUCUUCGACU